ACUACCAACUGUGUUCCUGCGAGUGCCAUCACUGUUUCUCCACCACCUCCUCCUCCCCUGUGUUCUGCAGCCACCUGUCACGCCUCGAAUUUUCCACGUUUGCGCCCCUCUUCCAAGUAGUCCCUAUCUCCAGGAAGUCAGAGAGACAGGACAAAGAGCAAGGUACUCCUGCAGGACAAGGUCUCUUCUCUGGGCAUUGAACUCCCAGCUCCCUACGCCUAUUGCCUGUGAUGGAAGAACUUGAUGUUAAUGUGAGUUCGAGUGAGGGCUUCGGCGUAGCAGAGAAGAUCGUGCUGCUCACCUUUAUAUCAGCGGUUAUUCUCAUGGCCAUCCUGGGGAACCUGCUGGUGAUGGUGGCUGUGUGCAGGGACAGGCAGCUCAGGAAAAUCAAGACCAAUUAUUUCAUUGUUUCACUUGCCUUUGCGGACCUGCUGGUAUCAGUACUGGUGAUGCCAUUUGGAGCUAUUGAGUUGGUUCAGGACAACUGGAUCUAUGGAGAGAUGUUCUGCCUGGUCCGAACAUCCCUAGAUGUUUUACUCACCACCGCAUCAAUCCUUCAUCUGUGCUGCAUUUCACUGGACAGGUACUAUGCCAUCUGCUGCCAGCCGCUGGUUUACAGGAACAAGAUGACUCCAUUGCGCAUUGCUGUAAUGCUUGGAGGGUGCUGGGUAAUCCCGACAUUUAUUUCUUUCCUUCCUAUAAUGCAAGGCUGGAAUAGCAUUGGCAUCAUUGAUCUGAUUCAGCAAAGGCAGUUCAACAAGGCUUCCAACUCCACUUACUGCAUCUUCAUGGUCAACAAGCCAUAUGCCAUUACCUGCUCAGUGGUGGCCUUCUACAUCCCCUUCCUCCUGAUGGUGCUGGCCUACUACCGCAUCUACAUCACCGCCAGGGAGCACGCCCGCCAGAUUCAGGUGCUCCAGCGCGCGGGGACCCCUGCAGAAGGCCGGCAUCACCACCCGGACCAGCACAGCACGCACCGCAUGAAGACUGAGACCAAAGCUGCCAAGACCCUGUGCAUCAUCAUGGGAUGCUUCUGCCUGUGCUGGGCCCCCUUCUUUAUCACAAACAUAGUGGACCCUUUCAUAAACUACACCGUGCCGGGGAAGCUGUGGACAGCUUUCCUGUGGCUGGGCUACAUCAAUUCAGGGUUGAACCCCUUCCUGUACGCCUUCCUGAACAAGUCUUUCAGACGUGCCUUCCUCAUCAUCCUGUGCUGUGGUGAUGAGCGAUACCGAAGGCCUUCCAUCUUGGGGCAGACGGUCCCCUGUUCCACCACCACAAUAAAUGGAUCGACUCACGUGCUAAGGUAAACAGCUGGAAGUGCUGUGCUAACUGCUAAGAGGCUUCAGACAAAUGCUUUCUGCCACGAGAGAUUUGGGGACAUCUUCUGGACUUCUCUUUAGCUUACAUGUGUCUUUGUAACAAAUGCACCACCUGCUAAAUUGCUGAUCUUGUACAACUGUUCUCUGAUUACUACAAAAGAAGAAGAAAGGUCUGACUGGAUGUCCUCUAUGAAAUCAGCUUUCAGUGCCUGUUUGUUCUGCCUCUGAGCAAGCCGUACACUGUUUUACAUAAUGGGCAUAAUCAGGAACAUGAGAAGCUUCCCAUCCACAAUGACCCAGAAUCCCAAGAGUCCUGUUUCUA